AGGGUGACCGGCCACACUGGGACUGAGACACGGCCCAGACUCCUACGGGAGGCAGCAGUGGGGAAUAUUGCACAAUGGGCGAAAGCCUGAUGCAGCAACGCCGCGUGAGGGAUGACGGCCUUCGGGUUGUAAACCUCUUUUAGUAGGGAAGAAGCUUUUGUGACGGUACCUACAGAAAAAGCACCGGCUAACUACGUGCCAGCAGCCGCGGUAAUACGUAGGGUGCCAGCGUUGUCCGGAAUUAUUGGGCGUAAAGAGCUCGUAGGCGGUUUGUCGCGUCUGCUGUGAAAUCCUAAGGCUCAACCUUAGACUUGCAGUGGGUACGGGCAGGCUUGAGUGCGGUAGGGGAGAUUGGAAUUCCUGGUGUAGCGGUGGAAUGCGCAGAUAUCAGGAAGAACACCGAUGGCGAAGGCAGAUCUCUGGGCCGCUACUGACGCUGAGGAGCGAAAGCAUGGGGAGCGAACAGGAUUAGAUACCCUGGUAGUCCAUGCCGUAAACGUUGGGAACUAGAUGUAGGGACUGUUCCACGGUUUCUGUGUCGACGCUAACGCAUUAAGUUCCCCGCCUGGGGAGUACGGCCGCAAGGCUAAAACUCAAAGGAAUUGACGGGGGCCCGCACAAGCGGCGGAGCAUGCGGAUUAAUUCGAUGCAACGCGAAGAACCUUACCAAGGCUUGACAUAUAGAAGAACACUGUAGAGAUACAGGACUCUUUGGACACUUCUAUACAGGUGGUGCAUGGUUGUCGUCAGCUCGUGUCGUGAGAUGUUCGGUUAAGUCCGGCAACGAGCGCAACCCUCGUCCUAUGUUGCCAGCACGUUAUGGUGGGGACUCAUGGGAUACUGCCGUGGUCAACACGGAGGAAGGUGGGGAUGACGUCAAAUCAUCAUGCCCCUUAUGUCUUGGGCUUCACGCAUGCUACAAUGGCCGGUACAAAGGGCUGCGAUACCGUAAGGUGGAGCGAAUCCCAAAAAGCCGGUCUCAGUUCGGAUUGGGGUCUGCAACUCGACCCCAUGAAGUCGGAGUCGCUAGUAAUCGCAGAUCAGCAACGCUGCGGUGAAUACGUUCCCGGGCCUUGUACACACCGCCCGUCAAGUCAUGAAAGUCGGUAACACCCGAAGCCGGUGGCCUAACCCUUUUUGGGAGGGAGCUGUCUAAGGU
rnacentral:rRNA from 1 species